GACAGAGGGGGCAAGCGUUGCUCGGAAUCACUGGGCGUAAAGGGUGCGUAGGCGGGUUUUUAAGUCAGGGGUGAAAUCCUGGAACUCAACUCCAGAACUGCCUUUGAUACUGAAGAUCUUGAGUCCGGGAGAGGUGAGUGGAACUGCGAGUGUAGAGGUGAAAUUCGUAGAUAUUCGCAAGAACACCAGUGGCGAAGGCGGCUCACUGGCCCGGUACUGACGCUGAGGCACGAAAGCGUGGGGAGCAAACAGG
rnacentral:rRNA from 1 species